UCCGCUGGUUCGGGUAGACCUAUUUUGCAUGCAAAUUACAUGAAUAUCUUUAAAUAAAAAUCCAUAUUUUAAAUGAAAUAAUUAAUUUCUACCCAAAUCCUACCAAACUGACUCCAGAUCAGCACGUACACACAUGGACAUGGGACACGCCCACAUACACACACGCACCUAAAGCUCUCGCCGCUCUCAGUCUCCCGCGACCCGCUCGAUCCCAACUCUGGUCUGGUAGUUAGUGUAGCUAGCUACACUGGAGAAACAUGCCACCCGGUAAGUGGGCUAAAUACGGGAAGAAAUAUACAAAAGAAUGGGAAAGUGAAAACGGAAUUAAAGAAUGGAUAGAACGUGUGGCUGGGGAUGAUACCAAAGCUUUUUGUCGGUACUGCAAAACCGAGAUUCGUGCGCACCACAGUGAUCUCCAAAACCACAGCAAAACGGGGAAACACAUUCGAAAUGCUGCUCCGUUCUCCAGUUGUCGAGCAGGGAGGAAGAGAGAAAAGGGAAGAGAAAGCCUCAAGACAAAGCAACAGACCUGGCAACCCUG